GACGAACGCUGGCGGCGUGCCUAAUACAUGCAAGUAGAACGCACAGUUUAUACCGUAGCUUGCUACACCAUAGACUGUGAGUUGCGAACGGGUGAGUAACGCGUAGGUAACCUGCCUGGUAGCGGGGGAUAACUAUUGGAAACGAUAGCUAAUACCGCAUAAUAUUAAUUAUUGCAUGAUAAUUAAUUGAAAGGUGCAAUUGCACCACUACCAGAUGGACCUUCGUUGUAUUAGCUAGUAGGUGAGGUAACGGCGCACCUAGGCGACGAUACAUAGCCGAACUGCGAUGGUGAUCGGCCGCACUGGGACUGUGACCCGCCCCAGACUCCUACGGGAGGCAGCAGUAGGGCAUCUUCGGCCAUGGGCGAAAGUCUGACCGAGCAGCGCCGCGUGAGUGUAGAAGGUUUUCGGGUCGUAAAGCUCUGUUGUCAGGGAAGAACGGGUGUGAGAGUGGAAAGUUCACACUGUGACGGUAUCUUACCAGAAAGGGACGGCUAACUACGUG
rnacentral:rRNA from 1 species